rnacentral:rRNA from 1 species
CCUACGGGAGGCUGCAGUGGGGAAUAUUGCGCAAUGGGCGAAAGCCUGACGCAGCGACGCCGCGUGAGGGAUGAAGGUCUUCGGAUCGUAAACCUCUGUCAGCAGGGAAGCACGGUCACUGUGCUAAUCAGCAGUGCAUUUACGGUACCUGCAAAGGAAGCACCGGCUAACUCCGUCCCAGCAGCCGCUGUAAUACGGAGGGUGCGAGCGUUAAUCGGAAUUACUGGGCGUAAAGCGCUCGUAGGCGGUAUGUCAAGUCAAGGGUGAAAUCCCCGCGCUCAACGUGGGAACUGCCUUUGAAACUGGCAAACUGGAGUGGGUGAGAGGUUAGCGGAAUUCCAGGUGUAGGAGUGAAAUCCGUAGAUAUCGGGAGGAACAUCAGUGGCGAAGGCGACUAUCUGGCACAUAACUGACGCUGAGGAGCGAAAGCGUGGGUAGCAAACAGGAUUAGAUACCCGUGUAGUC